rnacentral:rRNA from 1 species
GCUUGCUCCUGGGUGACGAGCGGCGGACGGGUGAGUAAUGUCUGGGAAACUGCCUGAUGGAGGGGGAUAACUACUGGAAACGGUAGCUAAUACCGCAUAACGUCGCAAGACCAAAGAGGGGGACCUUCGGGCCUCUUGCCAUCAGAUGUGCCCAGAUGGGAUUAGCUAGUAGGUGGGGUAACGGCUCACCUAGGCGACGAUCCCUAGCUGGUCUGAGAGGAUGACCAGCCACACUGGAACUGAGACACGGUCCAGACUCCUACGGGAGGCAGCAGUGGGGAAUAUUGCACAAUGGGCGCAAGCCUGAUGCAGCCAUGCCGCGUGUAUGAAGAAGGCCUUCGGGUUGUAAAGUACUUUCAGCGGGGAGGAAGGCGCUGAGGUUAAUAACCUCAGCGAUUGACGUUACCCGCAGAAGAAGCACCGGCUAACUCCGUGCCAGCAGCCGCGGUAAUACGGAGGGUGCAAGCGUUAAUCGGAAUUACUGGGCGUAAAGCGCACGCAGGCGGUCUGUCAAGUCGGAUGUGAAAUCCCCGGGCUCAACCUGGGAACUGCAUUCGAAACUGGCAGGCUAGAGUCUUGUAGAGGGGGGUAGAAUUCCAGGUGUAGCGGUGAAAUGCGUAGAGAUCUGGAGGAAUACCGGUGGCGA